CCGAGAUGCAAAGGCCACGGACCCGCCAUUCAGGACUCCAAAGAGUCUUGCUCCGGGUGCCUCUGAGGACCACACAGGCAACUUCGCCUAAGGCCCUCCUCCCAGGCCUCCCCCAGGGGACAGAGGGGCUCCCCUAGCGCCCAGGGCCAUGUGCCCACGACCCUUCCCUGAGGGCAUUCUUUCUGCCUGCAUCGACAUUGGAUUUGGUCAUACGACUUGCUGCUGUCACUGAGUUAAGGAUGGGACAAAUGUGCUCCUCAGUGCCAGUGCUGGAAAGAGAAGUGAGGCAAGCCACAGCCAAGCCAUUGAACAGUCUCCAACUGCAGCGUGAAAAGGAAAGAAAUGGAUGUUAUUAGCUACUAGGAUGUGUAUCUUCAUCUUCAUUAUACAACUUCUAGUAUUUCUGUACUACUCGUCUCCUUAUCCUUCUUUAUUUUUCUUUACAGGCUUGCUUAUCUACAUAUUUAUUAUCUGCUUUAUGCCCUGGAACAUAACCUUCAUAAAAUAAGGAUUUUUGUCUAUUUUGUUCACUGUUAUGUCCCCUAUUCGUAAAGCAAAGCAUAAUAAAUACCUAUCACUGAGUGUA